rnacentral:rRNA from 1 species
GAUGAACGCUGGCGGCGUGCCUAAUACAUGCAAGUCGAGCGAACAGACGAGGAGCUUACUCCUCUGACGUUAGCGGCGGACGGGUGAGUAACACGUGGAUAACCUACCUAUAAGACUGGGAUAACUUCGGGAAACCGGAGCUAAUACCGGAUAACAUGUUGAACCGCAUGGUUCAACAGUGAAAGACGGUCUUGCUGUCACUUAUAGAUGGAUCCGCGUUGCAUUAGCUAGUUGGUAAGGUAACGGCUUACCAAGGCAACGAUGCGUAGCCGACCUGAGAGGGUGAUCGGCCACACUGGAACUGAGACACGGUCCAGACUCCUACGGGAGGCAGCAGUAGGGAAUCUUCCGCAAUGGGCGAAAGCCUGACGGAGCAACGCCGCGUGAGUGAAGAAGGUCUUCGGAUCGUAAAACUCUGUUAUUAGGGAAGAACAAAUGUGUAAGUAACUAUGCACGUCUUGACGGUACCUAAUCAGAAAGCCACGGCUAACUACGUG